GGGUUUUGGCAUGGGCGAAAGCCUGAUCAGCCUGCCGCGUGUGUGAAGAAGGUCUUCGGAUUGUAAAGCACUUUAAGUUGGGAGGAAGGGCCGUUACCUAAUACGUGAUGGUUUUGACGUUACCGACAGAAUAAGCACCGGCUAACUCUGUGCCAGCAGCCGCGGUAAUACAGAGGGUGCAAGCGUUAAUCGGAAUUACUGGGCGUAAAGCGCGCGUAGGUGGUUUGUUAAGUUGGAUGUGAAAUCCCCGGGCUCAACCUGGGAACUGCAUUCAAAACUGACUGACUAGAGUAUGGUAGAGGGUGGUGGAAUUUCCUGUGUAGCGGUGAAAUGCGUAGAUAUAGGAAGGAACACCAGUGGCGAAGGCGACCACCUGGACUGAUACUGACACUGAGGUGCGAAAGCGUGG
rnacentral:rRNA from 1 species